AUGUUUCUAUCCAAUUCGGUAAUCUUGAGAUCUGUCUUAAUAGUCUCUCUUAAUAGUCUUUCUAGGUCUUCCUCUACCUCUAGUUGUUUGAUUUAUUCUCCAUCUGAUCUACUUUCUUUGCAAAAAAAUUCACAACUCUUCUCUCUACAUGCUCAAUCCAUCCCGCAGGAUCAUCGCCUUUAA